rfam:Vigna angularis cultivar Jingnong 6 chromosome 8, whole genome shotgun sequence.
UGAGACUCAACUUACGCGAAUGGAAAACUGAAGCAUCUCAAUAGCCAGAGGAAAAGAAAGCAAAAGUAAUUCCCAUAGUAGCAACAAGCGAAAUAAGAGCAACCUAAAUCGUGAAAACAAGUUAUGGGAGAGUUAUACAAGUUUCGUGUUGCUAGGUGAACCAACAUAGAAUGCUGGACCCUAGAUGGCGAGAGUCCAAUAACCAAAAGCAUCACUAACUUACGCUCGGACUUGAGUAGCAUGAGACACAUGGAAUCUCAUGUAAAUCAGUAAGGACCACCUUACAAGACUAGAUACUCCA